rnacentral:rRNA from 1 species
AUUGAACGCUGGCGGCAGGCCUAACACAUGCAAGUCGAACGGUAACAGGAAGACGCUUGCUUCUUUGCUGACGAGUGGCGGACGGGUGAGUAAUGUCUGGGAAACUGCCUGAUGGAGGGGGAUAACUACUGGAAACGGUAGCUAAUACCGCAUAACGUCGCAAGACCAAAAAGGGGGACCUUCGGGCCUCUUGCCAUCGGAUGUGCCCAGAUGGGAUUAGCUAGUAGGUGGGGUAACGGCUCACCUAGGCGACGAUCCCUAGCUGGUCUGAGAGGAUGACCAGCCACACUGGAACUGAGACACGGUCCAGACUCCUACGGGGGGCAGCAGUGGGGAAUAUUGCACAAUGGGCGCAAGCCUGAUGCAGCCAUGCCGCGUGUAUGAAGAAGGCCUUCGGGUUGUAAAGUACUUUCAGCGGAGAGGAAGGGAGUAAAGUUAAUACCUUUGCUCAUUGACGUUACCCGCAGAAGAAGCACCGGCUAACUCCGUG